GCAGUAAGCCAUGCUUUAGCCUCUGACCUGUGCUCCAAUUUUGGUACAAUGAUUUCUGCCAUGUUCUCCAACAGAAAAGGAACUGCAUGUGUUUUUCUGCCUCUUGCAGAUGUAUGUCAUAAAAGUUGGAUGCCUUCCUUUUAAGACAUUUGAAUGGAUCACCAAAUAAUUACCUACUUUUCUCUCACAACUCAGAUAAAUAAUUAAAAGGAGAUAUACA
rnacentral:lncRNA from 1 species